CAGGAGGUAGUUUAUAAUUAAAAUACUAGUUUUGGGUAUUAGUGAAAAAGAGUUUUUCUUCUGA
rnacentral:tRNA from 1 species